AUACAUUUUAGAUGUUGGAUACAUAGAUUCUCUUGUGAGUACGAUUCGGAUCUGUCUGGGACGUAAAUUCACAUUAAGUUGAAUAUAAGUAGGCCAUUAGAUUCGGUGCAAAACGUUGAAUCAAUUUUCGUGUUAUUUUCAUCAUACCAAAUUACCGAUGUAUGGAUAAAAGGAUCAUUAUCAGCUAGACAAAUCAAUGUUAAAUCAGUACCCUGAUCAUAGGGACCAAUUAUUCUGUCAUUAAGUAUUUCGCCAUUCGAAUUGACAAUUUCGAUUUUUUUCGGCCAUACAUUACAUUCAACAAUCGACAUGGUAAUGGACCAUAAAAACAACAAAGUUUUGGCCACAUUUUUCACAUUCAUCAUUAGUAUUCAAAUUGACGAUGGAUAUAGUCACAUUAAAAAUUUUUAUAAAAAAAACGAAAAUGGAACACAAAAAAGCACCAAGAUCGUUAUUGCAGAAAUUUUGAUUACAUGAUGGCAGCACAGUCACUAUUUCCUCUAUCAUAUCAAUUUAAGCUUUUGCUUAAUUUAAGUCAACAAACAAAAAAAAUUAUUUAACUGUCAUUUUUGUAGCAGCCGUUUUAAGACAAUGUUUGGAUAUACUCGAAAUAAAACCAAAUUUUUACUUUAAUGUUUUUAUCAAUUGAUUGUGCUCAGUAAUUAAAAGUAGUGAGGUAGAAAAUUUCAAAAAAUAUUUAAACUAAAUAACAAGAUUAAUUCAUUUAUUUUCACCAAUCGAAUGGAUCAUCAGGAUUACGAUUUCGAUGACGAUUAUGAUGUUGUUUCUGACGAAGGUUAUCUUGGCACCAUUGCUUGAAUUUAGCAUAUAAAUCUUGUGGUGUAUCAACUUGAGGAAUAUCGGAAUAAUUUUGUGUUAUGUAAAUACCUGUAUAAAGGCCAGCCGAAAAUAUCAAUAAGCCACGAAGCAUUUCCUAUCACCAGCAAAAAAAAAAAAUAUCUUCAACAAUAUUAAA